rnacentral:tRNA from 1 species
GGGGCAUUAGCUCAGCUGGCUAGAGCGCAUCGCUGGCAGCGAUGAGGUCAUCGGUUCAAGUCCGAUAUGCUCCACCA